rnacentral:rRNA from 1 species
UACAGAGGCCCCAAGCGUUACUGAGAAUCACUGGGUUUAAAGGGUGCGUAGGUGGGCAGGUAAGUCAGUGGUGAAAUCUCUGGGCUUAACCCGGAACUGCCGUUGAUACUAUCUGUCUUGAAUAUAGUGGAGGUGAGCGGAAUAUGUCAUGUAGCGGUGAAAUGCUUAGAUAUGACAUAGAACAUCGAUUGCGAAGGCAGCUCGCUACACUAUGAUUGACACUGAGGCACGAAAGCGUGGGGAUCAAACAGG